rnacentral:lncRNA from 1 species
ACAUGUAUUCCAGUAAUAUAAGAGUAACUGCAAGAGGGAGGCUGCUUGGUCCAGAACUUCUCAGUGUAUACCCCAGGGCUGUAUGCCUCAUUGGAGGCUGCAGACAGCUGGCACAAGAGUGGGAGGCACUUCUCUGGGGAUACAUGAGCACGUCCAAGGGCUCAGAAGGGAGAGCCUGGUGUUUGACGCUCCCUGUUGGAAACAGUUUACUGACCUUCCUUCCCCAGCUUACACGGACAAGGGCAUCUGCCUACCAACACUGGGAUCCAGUUCCCACAGAAAAGGAGACUCUUACAUAAAAAUGGAAGCAGUUUCUACCCCGGUGAUGUGCAAAUUUUGACAGGACACACCAGGAACAUGGAAAGAAAAUAACACGAUUCCUUCAAAAGCUCAUAACUCUUCAGUAAAUGAAUCCAAAAAUAUCAAUGUGGAUGGAAUUCUGAACAAAGAACUUAAAGUUUGUUUUUUAAGUCAUCAAUGGAUUCAAACAAACAGAUGAAUGAGUUAAGAAAGAUAAUUCAGCAAAAAAGAUGAAGAUUCUGAAAAAUAUCAAAACAGAGCUUGGAAAAGAUCUGUUCACCAAGUCACGUAAAAAGCUCGGUGGAGGGCUUUGCUGCCUCAGUUUCCUUUUCCUGUCACUGUGAUGAAGUCCUCUGACAGAAACACCCAAGGAAGAAAGAAUUAACAUUGGCCCAUAGCUUCGAGUUACAGUCUGUCAUGAUGGUGAAGUCCCUCAGGAAGCUCCUGGUCACAUGUGUUUAUAGCCAGAGGAGAGCAGGGACAUAUAUGCUAGUGACAGACUAUCUUUCUGUACUUUAGAAGAUGUCCUUCCCAUGGGAUGUUCCUGCCUACAAUUAAGACAUAUCUUCUUCACACAUCAACUAACAUAAUUGAAAUAACCCCCACAUGCCUACCCAGAUGGCCUUUUUCCCAGGGGAUUCUAGAUUUUGUCAAGUUGAAAAUCAACAUUAACCAGCAUAGGAAGAGAUAAAGUAGGAGAAAGAGUGUUAGGUAGUUAAGAAAAUAGAGGAAAAAAUAGUAAGCAGCACAUACAAGAUCCUACCACACAGCUGAAAGACCCAAUCUACAAAUGAUCAGGAUAGACAAGGGAUUAGGUACACAUUCAAGGAAAAAAAAAAACCUAGCCAGUGAAAUAAUAGCACAAAGUUCUCAACUCCAGAAAGGCAUGAAUACCCAGGCACAGAAGCAUUUAGAGCGCUGUGUAGACACACCCAGAAAAGAGCCUCUCCAUAACUUGUUAUUUAAGGUAACAAAGGCGCAGAAGAAGAGUGAACUCUUCAAGGGACUGAGCACCCAGCCACUUGUUAAGGCAAAUCCCUCAAAAUAGCUGUAGAUCCCUCAGCAUAACGGGGACAUGAGCACAUGGCGUAGUGUAUUUCAAAUGAGGAAAGGAAGUAACUGCUAACCUUGGUCACCAAAGCAAAGGUGUCCUUCGGAAUCAGAGGUGAGAGGAGAGUUUCCCAGCUAAGCAUAAGCUAGAGAAAUCCAUAAGCACAAACCAGAAGAUACAUGAACCAGCCCACCACUUAGAAGGCGCUAAAAAUAAACUAAAAAAUAAAUAUAACAGGACAGUAGUGUAUAAGCUUCACCGGAAGAGAAGCAAGGGAGACUUAGGAAAGAAAAACAAGAUUAACUUGCUGAAUCUUUAAACCUUAAGGAAGAAUGAGAAAACAAUCAAUCAAAUAAACAAAAAAAGAAACAAGAAAAAGUAUGAGAAAUGCAUAGAGACACAGACACCUAUUUGCACACACAAGAAUCCCUAACCAGAAGCCAUAAUAUAUGCAAAGAACCUGUGAGGUUAAAAAGAAAAAAGGUCCAACUUAACAUUAUGAGACAAGGAACCCCCAAAGAUUCUGUUAAUCUUUUUAUUAGUUCUAUUCUUUUAGAGAACUCUAAUCAAUACACUGUUCAAUUCACAUAACAGAAUAACUAGUUAACUAAGAAGGAGAGAUGGUGACAGAAGGCAGACCGGAAGCUGGAAGGAAAUGGGACUUAGAAGCAGAACUCAGGAGGCUCCUGUUACUCCAAGGUUGGUCCAUUCUGAACUAAAUACCAAGCUCACCAUGCAGAUGUGUGGUUUGGAUGACCACGUAGCCCUUAGCAUCAAAAUUCAAGUCACUAAAUUGAAGGCAGAUCAAUAAUCCAUAACAUAUUGAUAAUGUAAUAUAUUGAAGCACAUACAUUUAUUUACAUAGUGAAUAUAAACUUGCUUGGGAUUUUCACAAAUUAAUACUUUUGAAUAAGAAGAAACAGAAAGCAUUUUGGCAAAUUCAGGAGACUCCUUAAUAAUGUUGGGUGUCUGGCAUGAAACUACACUCAAACUUUGGACACUGUAAAAAUUAUUUACCCUUAGUAAAAUACAAUAUCCUGUCUGGA